rnacentral:rRNA from 1 species
GACGAACGCUGGCGGCGUGCUUAACACAUGUAAGUCGAGCGAUGAAGCUUCUUCGGAAGUGGAUUAGCGGCGGACGGGUGAGUAACACGUGGGUAACCUGCCUCAUAGAGGGGAAUAGCCUUCCGAAAGGAAGAUUAAUACCGCAUAAGAUUGUAAUAUCGCAUGAUAUAGCAAUUAAAGGAGUAAUCCGCUAUGAGAUGGACCCGCGUCGCAUUAGCUAGUUGGUGAGGUAACGGCUCACCAAGGCGACGAUGCGUAGCCGACCUGAGAGGGUGAUCGGCCACAUUGGGACUGAGACACGGCCCAGACUCCUACGGGAGGCAGCAGUGGGGAAUAUUGCACAAUGGGGGAAACCCUGAUGCAGCAACGCCGCGUGAGUGAUGACGGUCUUCGGAUUGUAAAGCUCUGUCUUCAGGGACGAUAAUGACGGUACCUGAGGAGGAAGCCACGGCUAACUACGUGCCAGCCGCCGCGGUAA